rnacentral:rRNA from 1 species
CGGUGAAACCGCGAAUGGCUCAUUAAAUCAGUCGUGGUUCCUUAGAUGAUCCAUUUCUACUUGGAUAACUGUGGCAAUUCUAGAGCUAAUACAUGCGGACCAGCUCCGACCCGGUGUCGCAGCCGGGAAAGAGCGCUUUUAUUAGUUCAAAACCAGUCGGCGGGUCCGCCCUUCGCGGGGUGGCCGGCCGUCCCCUUUUGGUGACUCUGGAUAACUUUGUGCCGAUCGCAUGGCCUCGAGCCGGCGACGCAUCUUUCAAAUGUCUGCCCUAUCAAAUGUCGAUGGUACGCGAUAGGCCUACCAUGUUGACUACGGGUGACGGGGAA